rnacentral:rRNA from 1 species
UACAGAGGUCCCAAGCGUUGUUCGGAUUCACUGGGCGUAAAGGGUGCGUAGGUGGCAGGGUAAGUUUGAUGUGAAAUCUCCGGGCUUAACCCGGAAACUGCAUUGAAUACUAUCCUGCUCGAGGUUUGGAGGGGGGACUGGAAUUCUCGGUGUAGCAGUGAAAUGCGUAGAUAUCGAGAGGAACACCAGUGGCGAAGGCGAGUCCCUGGACAGCACCUGACACUGAGGCACGAAAGCUAGGGGAGCAAACAGG